rnacentral:lncRNA from 1 species
CCUUGAUAUUUGAGACAGUAGACGGAGAGUCCGGUCUGUACAUGUGUACGAGGAGUUGAAUGACCCUGACUGUACACGAGAGAGUAGUAUCCUUGCGUUUGGAAAUGAUUUCGGAGGAGUACAUGACAUUUUUUAAGAAGUGUAAAAGUAGAUGGGAUAAUAGGGGAAUGAGGAACUUAAUUUGUGUACAUUAUUUAUAUGUGUACAUGGGACUGAUCUCGAAAUAAAUGUACAUGUGCACAUACGUGUUAGUUAGAUGUACAUGACAUACGAAUAGAUGUAUACGAGUAGAUUAGUAGUCUUGACAGGUGAAUACAGUAGGUGUCCAUAUGCAUGGGGACAUUUCCCCUUGAUAUUUGAAACAGUAGACGGAGAGUCCGGUCUGUACAUGUGUACGACGAGCUGAAUGACCCUGACUGUACACGAGAGAGUAGUAUCCUUGCGAGUAGUAUCCUCGCGUUUGGGAAUGAUCUUGGAGGAGUACAUGACAUUUUUUAAGAAGUGUGAAAGUAGAUGGGAUAUUGGGGGAAUGAGGAACUUAAUUUGUGUACAUGAUUUAUAUGUGUACAUGUGUACAUGAGACUGAUCUCCGAAUAGAUGUACAUGUGCACAUACGUGUUAGUUAGAAGGUGGAGAUCUUU